GUACACUCCUACGGGAGGCAGCAGUGAGGAAUAUUGGACAAUGGGUGGAAGCCUGAUCCAGCCAUCCCGCGUGCAGGAAGACGGCCCUAUGGGUUGUAAACUGCUUUUAUCUGGGGAUAAACCUACUUACGUGUAAGUAGCUGAAGGUACCAGAAGAAUAAGCACCGGCUAACUCCGUGCCAGCAGCCGCGGUAAUACGGAGGGUGUAAGCGUUAUCCGGAUUUAUUGGGUUUAAAGGGUCCGUAGGCGGACUGAUAAGUCAGUGGUGAAAUCCGACAGCUUAACUGUCGAACUGCCAUUGAUACUGUUAGUCUUGAGUAAGGUUGAAGUGGCUGGAAUAAGUAGUGUAGCGGUGAAAUGCAUAGAUAUUACUUAGAACACCAAUUGCGAAGGCAGGUCACUAAGUCUUAACUGACGCUGAUGGACGAAAGCGUGGGGAGCGAACAGGAUUAGAUACCCCUGUAGUCCCA
rnacentral:rRNA from 1 species